rnacentral:rRNA from 1 species
AAUGAACGCUGGCGGCAGGCCUAACACAUGCAAGUCGAACGCCCCGCAAGGGGAGUGGCGCACGGGUGAGUAACGCGUGGGAAUAUGCCCUUCGGUUCGGAAUAACACGGGGAAACUUGUGCUAAUACCGGAUACGAUCUACGGAUGAAAGAUUCAUCGCCGAAGGAGUAGCCCGCGUAGGAUUAGCUAGUUGGUGAGGUAAUGGCUCACCAAGGCGACGAUCCUUAGCUGGUCUGAGAGGAUGAUCAGCCACAUUGGGACUGAGACACGGCCCAGACUCCUACGGGAGGCAGCAGUGGGGAAUAUUGGACAAUGGGCGAAAGCCUGAUCCAGCCAUGCCGCGUGAGUGAUGAAGGCCUUAGGGUUGUGAAGCUCUUUCGCCAGGGAAGAUAAUGACGGUACCUGGAAAAGAAGCCUCGGCUAACUCCGUGCCAGCCGCCGCGGUAAGAC